ACUGCAGCUGCAAGGGAAGGAGCAGAAGCCAAUCAGCAUCAUAUAUGUGCAAAGGGGCAGCCAUCACUAGGAGUUAGGAGAUGAUCUGAAAUUCUUGACAGAGAUGGGUUUGGGCAGGGUCCCCAGGUCUGAGCAGCACCCAUCCGUUCAGAGAAGGAUCCAGACUGGAAGGCUUCAGUCCAUUCCUUGUUUUAAUAAUACACUUGUGUGUGGUUUAAGGAAUCUAAAAUCAGCUCAGAUCUGGUGAUCUCAGUUACAGCAGUGGCUAUAAAACUAUAAAAACUGUCCCAGAGGGAUACUGUAGUGCCUGGCACUGCUUUGAAGUCAUUUUUAAAAGGCGUACUCAAUUUAAAUGGACCGUGUCUCUAAUAAUAUAAGUUAUUUCCAGGGAAGAUGGGAACAGGAUUUGGUGCAAUAUUGAUAGUUUAGCCAAUCAAUGGGUGAAGAAUAAUAAGGAAGCGAUCAUGAGGAUACUGAGACACCUUCUGCUUUGGGUUUAUAUCACAAAGAAAUCUGUUAAGAGGAAGUUUCAUUUCCCUUGUUUCAAAUUCCUUUAACAAGAAGGGCUGUCAGGACUGUAUACAGACAACCUUGGUGUAACUGACCAGAGCGAUGCAGGGGACUGGAAUAUAAUCAGCCUUUGUGACUAACCAAUACCUAGUAUAAUGACUGUUUCUUCUUUACGUAGCUUUUUACUCCUAGGCUACCACUGAUGCAUGGCAGCUGCUAAACUGUAGCUCCCAGUAGUGUCACAUAUUGAGGUCUAUAGACACUCCCUUUAUAACUAGGGAUAGGUGAACUGGCUCAGCUAAAAUGAAUGAGCACAGACCCCAAACUGAAUCUGGUUCAGAUAAAGUGAGAACAGACCCAAAUCUUCCCCCAAACUCAGACUGAAUCUCUUAUUAGGCCUGAAAAAGUUGGUUAACUUUUCAAAUGAAUAUUUUCAUUUUCACACACUUCUGUGCUUCUAGAUCCCAGCUGGGAUUAGCAGAGGAUUUGCACAAUUAGAGUCUGAUUGCGAUUGUAUACAACGCCAGUGUCACCGUGCAAUGCUAGCAGAAGGCUGGGAAUCAGGAGACCCUGUGUUCUACAUCUGGCUCUUCCAGUGCCCUGCUAUGUGGGUCUUGUUAUGCCACUUCACUCUUUAUGUCUCUAUUGUCUCCUCUGUAGAAUGGGAAUAACAAAAUUAUGACUGUUGUUUGUGUUACAGUGACAUCUAGAAUCCACUACUGAGAUCAGGGACCCACUGUGCUAGGAACUGCAUAAACGGGAUCACGUGGCUGAUAGCCAGAGACGAAAGAUCCCUUACUGGUGCCUCCCAGCUCUUUCCGAUUCUUCUCGCCACUCAGCAAGAACUCUCCUUUUUUAAGAGUCCAUGCUAUGGGAUCUGCCGAAGGCUGGAAGCAUACGACCAAUGUAGGCAGAAGCUCCAGAGGGGAGCUCUCUCCUGCCUCUACUGGUGAAAAGGAAAAAGUGCUGCCACAGAGUUCUUCCUUUGCAUAGACUACCUACCCACAAUUCCUCUCAGGACGCUUGAGGAGUCAUCAUAACUAGACAUUAACUUGGAUUUUGGGGGUAGUUGGCUCCUAGAUCAGUUUAAAGAGUUUAUUUCUAAGCAGUCAGGAUUCUGCUGAAGGGUCUUAAAUGUUCUUGUUUCCUUUCCAGUGGGGACUUUGUUGUGAAAAAUGACCCAGUGUUCUGCUUAUCUAGCACCGUAAUGAGCUACCUCAUUAGACUGGGUUAGCUGGUGGCCCCUCCAGGCAGGACUGGGUAAGCAGCUCCCCUGGAACUGGAGACAGACCUGCAAAGAGACACUUGGAUGACUAGUACUUGCUGAUCCUAACAGUGAGUGGGGUUUGGUGGAUAGGUGAGGUGGUGCAGCCAAGGGACUGUGGGACAUUCUCACUAGUGGGUGGGCAGACAGGAAAGCGGGGUGGAGGGUAUUUGACUCUUUAUAUGCAUACCUGUUCCGUUGGUGGGUUUUCCCAGAUUCAUGACUGUGUUCCCUUUGUCCUUGUUUGUACACAGUCC